CUGCUCAUUAAUGUUAAAAAAAAUGUGGUCAAUAUAUAAUAAAUCCUUAGAAAAUUUUCCAUGGACAACUAUCAUGAGUCAAACAGGUUUUAUGUAUGGAGUCGGGGACACCUUAGCUCAAUCUAUAGAAAGAUAUCAAAUGGAAACACCUUACAAAGGUUAUUCAUACGAAAGAACAUUGAUUCUGGCAGGAUUUGGAGCUUUUAAUGCUGGACCCUUGAUGAAAAUCUGGUACAAGUUUUUAGAUAAAUCUUUUGGAACUGAAACAAAUUUCAAAUCCGGGUUUAAAAAGAUGGCUAUGGA